AAUUCAUCUGCUGGCUAUGCACAAAUUGUCGGAUUGAGAUUCUAGAAAGGUGUUCUUCAUCCUCAGAAGUCGCUGGGCUUUAUCUGGCUGAGAUUUAAUAACUUCCUUUUGAUGAAGUAUAUAUAUUGUGCAUACUACCAAGGAAGAACCUGGCCACGAGUUACAGUGCAGGCAUUUCUUGUCUCUAAUUUAUCUUUGCACUCUCAAUUUAUUUAUUCAAUGAAAAGCUCGUUGUCUCUGAAGAUAUGCUUAUGUUUUGGGAUUUGAAGUCUUGUCAAUCUUCAAAUUUGGAGUAGAUUUAGCAUAUGAUGGAGGAUUGUUUCUCCAGCCAAAAUUAAGACAACUUUUUUCGAACUUUUGUUCGGCCAAAGAAUUGUUUUCAUCCAUGUUAUCUGUCUUAAUUCUUAAUUCGAUUCUUAUAUUUCAAAAACUAGGAACAUUUUGAUGUGUACCAUAUAAAAUGUGAAACCAGGUUUAUUAGUCAUUAUCUA